GGCGCCGCCUGAGCGCUGCCCCGUCAGCCGGCGGGGCGGUGCCGUCCGCCUCCACUUCCGAAGCGGCGGCGGCGGGCGGGCGGGCAAGAGAAAUUGACAUGGGGAAAACCACCAUGAGGCUUCUCUGUACUUCACUUUCUCUUACCAUGAUUUGCUGGCUAGCUGAAGGUACCCUGUCAAAAACAGAUGCAAAGAAAGGUGCUACAAAAAAAAUGGAAGAAAAGACACUGCAUUCUGAUAAAAAUGUGCGGGAGCGGGGACUGGUAGUUGUGGAUCCAAAGGCAAAGGAUAUUAUACUGGAACACAGAAGUUACUGCUCCAAGAAGAUGAAGGAAAGGCAUUUCUCGGGAGAUGUUCUGGGAUAUAUUACUCCCUGGAACAGCCAUGGCUAUGACAUUGCUAAAAUAUUUGGAAACAAAUUUACACUAAUCUCACCAGUCUGGUUACAAGUGAAAAGGAGAGGGAAGGAAAGGUUCCAGUUCACUGGGCUCCAUGAUGCUGAUAAAGGCUGGAUGAAAGAUGUCAGAAAAGCCUCCAAAAACAUCAAAAUAGUGCCUCGAAUUUUGUUUGAUGGCUGGACUUAUCAGGACUUUGAGAGUGUUUUUGGCAGUGAGGAUGAGAUAGAGGAGCUUACCAAGAACAUGGUUCUCCUAGCCAAGAAUGAAAAUUUUGAUGGUUUUGUAGUUGAAGUUUGGAGUCAGCUGGGAAAUCAAAAGCAAACGGAGUUGAUUCACUUGCUCGUUCACCUUUCUGAAGCUCUGCAUGAAGCACAACUUAAACUCAUACUGGUCAUCCCUCCUGCUGUUGCAGCAGGGACUAACCAGCCAGGAAUGUUCACAAAGAAAGAAUUUGAUCAGUUGGCCUCAGCAAUAGACAGCUUCAGUCUCAUGACAUAUGACUAUUCAACACCACAACGACCUGGUCCGAAUUCUCCUCUUCCCUGGGUACGAGCCUGUGUUCAAGUACUGGAUCCUGAUUCAAAAUGGAGGAAUAAAAUACUUCUAGGCCUGAAUUUCUAUGGCAUGGACUAUUCUGCUUUGGGAGCCUCUGGGGAGCCAAUCCUUGGUAGUAGGAGGGUGCCCUUCAGCCAGAGCAGAAAGAGAAGUCCAGAUGAUAACACCAGGCUUUUAAAGGCAACGAAGUCAUUCUUUCAAGACAGCAAAAGCUGCCAAAACCAAACCCCACUAUAGAUAGUGACCUGUCAUGCUAGAUUGGAUAAUUCGGAAAGAAAAAUCUGUCUAACUGAACAAAUACAAGCAAAAAGAUUGGCUGAUACUUUAGCUAGAAAAUUGAGACUUGGCAAUGGUCAAGAAUGACAAAGAUUUCUGAUAGAAAAUACGCAAAGUUGAUGCAUAUGAACAGAAAGCAACUUAGUAAACUGUUACCAUAAAUAAUUUGCACUGGAAAAAAAAGUUCACAUUUUGUAGCCCCGGGUGUCUUGAAAAAUAGAAGAACAGAACAACAAUAACAACAAAAAGUAUCAUUACAAAAUAAAAUGGAGCUGUGGAACAGCAGUGUGUUAUUGAAGAUAUACAAACAGGUACAUUGAAACCUUGAAGGAGCACAAACCAAAAAUUGUCUGGGAUGAACAAAUUGCUGAACACUACUUCGAAUACAAAAA